rnacentral:tmRNA from 1 species
GGGGACGCAAUGGUUUCGACGGGGAUUAUGAGCUUAAGUAAGCGAGUAGCGUAGCGUAACGCUUUAAUCAACGCAUUUUAAAAUUAAAUGACAAAAAGAAUAAUGUAGUUAGAGCAAACUUUGGUAAAAAGAAGGUAGCUUUAGCAGCCUAGUUUUUAGGUAACGUCUUUAUUUAGAGUACCGCGACUAUUUAAGGGCGUCGAUUAGCGGUGAACGUGAACUGAUGAUUUUCUCGGCUUAGUCAUGAAUUAGAGAAUACUUAAGGUACAAGAUUUCUAUUGAACUUAUGCUUUAAGGAAUUUAUAAUCAAUAGAUACACUCGUAGAAAGCUUAGGUUAGUAAUUUUUGGACAGGGGUUCGAUUCCCCUCGUCUCCACCA